UGAAGGUCUGAGUGCCUCCUGAGAGGCUGAGCGUGCUCCUGGUUCCCCUGGAUUUCAGUGAGAGCUGGGAGGAAAAUCAUACCCCUUGAGAAAGCAAGAACAUAGAAGAGCAGUGAGCAGCAGGAUUCAGCCUGUGAGAGUCUUGUUUUUGGAACUUGAACAGAAACAAAAAAAUCUGGAGGAAAUCGUGACUUCUACUGCCCAGUGCCAUUGCACUGGCUUGAGGGGAAUGCUGAGAAUAAAGCUAGAAAAGCCGCGAAACACCUCUGCCCGCUCAUUAGUUAUAAAAGUGUAAGAUUCUUCUGCUACUUUUCUUCUCUUGGCAUUAUAGCUGAAGAAGAUCCUGGAAGACUUAAUGGUAAUGGCAGACAAGUAGUUUUGCUUUUAGAUUAUUCUCUUAUUUGAAUAUUUUUCAGACAGACAACUAUAAUAAGGAAAAUUAACAUACACUUCUAUAUAAAAGCAUGAUUUUUUUCCACUCAUUCAUUCUUUGUUCAUUGGACUGUUUUGGAGUUAAUGUCACUUUAAUAGCUCCACAUUUGUCAUAAAGUUGUAGUGCUA
rnacentral:lncRNA from 1 species